UUGGCCUACGGGAGGCAGCAGUGAGGGAUAUUGGUCAAUGGGGGAAACCCUGAACCAGCAACGCCGCGUGAGGGAAGACGGUUUUCGGAUUGUAAACCUCUGUCCUCUGUGAAGAUAAUGACGGUAGCAGAGGAGGAAGCUCCGGCUAACUACGUGCCAGCAGCCGCGGUAAUACGUAGGGGGCGAGCGUUAUCCGGAUUUACUGGGUGUAAAGGGGGCGCAGACGGCCAUGGCAAGCCCGGUGUGAAAGGUGCGGGCACAACCCGCAGACUGCACUGGUAACGGCCUGGCUGGAGUGCCGGGGG
rnacentral:rRNA from 1 species